ACGAGGUCGGAGGGGAGGCUGCACCAGCGUGUGUCCUUCCUUUGCCCAGUGGAGGAGACGGGCACACGCAGCAAUAAGGAGGACAGCGGCCACCGCCGCCUCGUGAUGCCAGGCGGCAACAACGCCACAUUCCUGCCGUCUGCAACGACAUUUGCUUCUUGCCCCGCCCUUCCCACACAGCGAUUCGGCGGGGCGGAUGUCAGUCGCACUACUCGCCAGUCCAUUGGUGCUCGGCGACUCCUCCGCAGCCAAUUGGCAGCCGCUCCCGGUGUCACUCACCGGAUUACGCGCAGGCGUGGGCGCGAGGGGGCGUUCCCCUCCCUAUGGUCUUCUAUAACAGCAGAGAACAAGCACAGAUGAGCAACUUAAAGAAAAAACAGAGAGGAAGAUGUCUGCUUCGUGCUUCCAGUUCUGAAAAUGAAGCAGUGUGCACAUAAAAGUUAUUGGCAGCUGUGUUGAGGCCAGAGGUCGUGAAG